rnacentral:rRNA from 1 species
CAUCUGCAGUCGAGCGAUGAAGAGGAGCUUGCUCCUCUGAUUUAGCGGCGGACGGGUGAGUAACACGUGGGUAAUCUGCCUGUAAGACGGGGAUAACUCCGGGAAACCGGGGCUAAUACCGGAUAAUAAGAAGAAACGCAUGUUUCUUUUUUGAAAGUCGGUUUCGGCUGACACUUACAGAUGAGCCCGCGGCGCAUUAGCUAGUUGGUGAGGUAACGGCUCACCAAGGCGACGAUGCGUAGCCGACCUGAGAGGGUGAUCGGCCACACUGGGACUGAGACACGGCCCAGACUCCUACGGGAGGCAGCAGUAGGGAAUCUUCGGCAAUGGGCGAAAGCCUGACCGAGCAACGCCGCGUGAGCGAUGAAGGCCUUCGGGUCGUAAAGCUCUGUUGUUAGAGAAGAACAAGUACGAGAGUAACUGCUCGUACCUUGACGGUACCUAACCAGAAAGCCACGGCUAACUACGUGCCAGCAGCCGCGGUAAUACGUAGGUGGCAAGCGUUAUCCGGAAUUAUUGGGCGUAAAGCGCGCGCAGGCGGUCUCUUAAGUCUGAUGUGAAAGCCCACGGCUCAACCGUGGAGGGUCAUUGGAAACUGGGAGACUUGAGUGCAGGAGAGAAAAGUGGAAUUCCACGUGUAGCGGUGAAAUGCGUAGAGAUGUGGAGGAACACCAGUGGCGAAGGCGGCUUUUUGGCCUGUAACUGACGCUGAGGCGCGAAAGCGUGGGGAGCAAACAGGAUUAGAUACCCUGGUAGUCCACGCCGUAAACGAUGAGUGCUAGGUGUUGGGGGGUUCCACCCUCAGUGCUGAAGUUAACACAUUAAGCACUCCGCCUGGGGAGUACGACCGCAAGGUUGAACUCAAAGGAAUUGACGGGGGCCCGCACAAGCAGUGGAGCAUGUGGUUUAAUUCGAAGCAACGCGAGAACCUUACCAGGUCUUGACAUCCUUUGACCACUCUAGAGAUAGAGCUUUCCCCUUCGGGGGACAAAGUGACAGUGGUGCAU